rnacentral:rRNA from 1 species
CCUACGGGAGGCAGCAGUGGGGAAUAUUGGACAAUGGGCGAAAGCCUGAUCCAGCAAUGCCGCGUGAGUGAUGAAGGCCUUAGGGUUGUAAAGCUCUUUUACCCGGGAUGAUAAUGACAGUACCGGGAGAAUAAGCUCCGGCUAACUCCGUGC